AUCGGGCUUAGCUCCCUCUGUUGCUUAGCAAUAUUCACUGGGCUGUUUCCUGAACCUCACACCACCUGGCAGAUUCAGAGUUAAAAAACAACAGCAAACAGUUGCAGACAAGAGACUUGCCUAAAAUCCAUAGCUGAAGCGCCAUCUCGUGAACACAGAGCUUCUCACCAGAUGCUAGAAUGCUCCCAGCAACUGUUCAGACUGAGGGGCUAAGUGACCGAAUUCCAG